rnacentral:snRNA from 1 species
AGCAUCUCAGACAUCGAAA